ACGAACGCUGGCGGCAUGCCUAACACAUGCAAGUCGAACGAGACCUUCGGGUCUAGUGGCGCACGGGUGCGUAACGCGUGGGAACCUGCCCUUAGGUUCGGAAUAACUCCCCGAAAGGGGUGCUAAUACCGGAUAAUGUCUUCGGACCAAAGAUUUAUCGCCUUUGGAUGGGCCCGCGUUGGAUUAGCUAGUUGGUAGGGUAAAAGCCUACCAAGGCGACGAUCCAUAGCUGGUCUGAGAGGAUGAUUAGCCACACUGGGACUGAGACACGGCCCAGACUCCUACGGGAGGCAGCAGUGGGGAAUAUUGGACAAUGGGCGAAAGCCUGAUCCAGCAAUGCCGCGUGAGUGAUGAAGGCCUUAGGGUUGUAAAGCUCUUUUACCCGGGAUGAUAAUGACAGUACCGGGAGAAUAAGCUCCGGCUAACUCCGUG
rnacentral:rRNA from 1 species